AUAAGGUUAAUUUACAAUACUCGGAUCGUAAUUUAAGACCAAGGGCAGCAGGAGCGACGGUACUUAACCAACUGACUAACUUAUUUUUACUGAGUUCCUGAGACAUACAAGGAUGCAGAUAUAAAAAUGGUGUGCUCAAUAUGGGAUGCAUUGCUUGUGACAAUUCUGUAUACUUCAAUUCUGCUCCGAUCGAUCGUGGACUCGCAUCAAAAAAUUAAGUUCUUGGCAAUAUAACAAGCAAUGCAUAACGUGACAAAGCUCAAUUAUUGUUUAAAAAAUUGGACAAAAGUUAUAAUUCACAUAUAUAUAUGAUCAUCGGAAAAAUGGUAUGUUCAAUGCGCGGCAUUGUCACAAAACAGAUUUCCUUUGUUUCUCGUAUCUUUCUCCUUCAGUCACUCUUGAUCCCUUUGCUGACUUCUUAGCCUAGUUUAAGAUCGGCUACAAUCGAAGGAACAAUCAGUAUUACGUCGCCUGCGACUUUCAACAGCCUGUACAUACCAGAUUAAGGUCUAGUGGUGAUCAGGGAGCAAUUGUAAUGGAAGUUUCAUAUUUUGAUGAAUAGAUGUUAUAAAAUUAACGACAUUCAAGAAAUGCCGAUUCAUAACCUCAUCAAAUAUAAACGAAGUUGAAGCCAUUAAAAUAAAGCACUGGAACGCUGUAGCUCAUCGACCACAAUACAUGAUGUUCUGUGACCAAUGGUUUCUCGAUUGGAGAAGUGGCUUCAAAUGGGUCUUCACCUAACACGAAGUUCAAAUCGAGAUUGAACUGCUUAAUGGAUUCACCUUGUUACCUCGCAGUUCCCAUCCAUCUGAUAACUCAUUCGACAUCUGUACGAAACUUUCGG